UGAUGGCAAUGAUGAUUUUUAAAUUUAUAGUUCACCUGAGGAAUAAAUAUGAGGGCGUUCAGUCACUACCUCAUCUGAUGCCAUCU
rnacentral:snoRNA from 1 species